rnacentral:rRNA from 1 species
GGUUCGAUCUGUCAGAUUGAACGCUGGCGGGAUGCUUUACACAUGCAAGUCGAACGGCAGCACGGACGGUCUGGUGGCGAGUGGCGAACGGGUGAGUAAUGUAUCGGAACGUGCCUAAUGGCAGGGGAUAACUACGCGAAAGCGUAGCUAAUACCGCAUACGCCCUUCGGGGAAAGCGGGGACCUUCGGGCCUCGCACUAUUAGAGCGGCCGAUAUCGGAUUAGCUAGUUGGAUGAGGUAACGGCUCACCAAGGCGACGAUCCGUAGCUGGUUUGAGAGGACGACCAGCCACACUGGGACUGAGACACGGCCCAGACUCCUGCAGGAGAGCAGCAGUGGGGGAAUUUUGGACAAUGGGGGAAACCCUGACCCAGCCAUCCCGCGUGUGCGAUGAAGGCCUUCGGGUUGUAAAGCACUUUUGGCAGGAAAGAAACGGCACGGGAUAAUACCCCGUGCAACUGACAAUACCUGCAGAAUAAGCACCGACUAACUGCAUUUAACCUUCGCCAAGCCAACGGCGUAAGUUUGGCGUCAGGAAUUACUGGGCGUAAAGCGUGCAAUUUAGUUCGAAGAAAGAUAAAUCCAGAGCUUAACUGGAACUGCAUUUUUAACUACCAGCUAGAGUGUGUGUGUCAGAGGGAGGUGGAAUUCCGCGUGUAGCAGUGAAAUGCGUAGAUAUGCGGAGGAGGAACACCGAUGGCGAGCAACCUCCUGGGAUAACUUACUGACGCUCUUUUACCGGCGUGGGAGCAAGGCGGGAUUAGAUACGGUAGUCCUUCAAAACGAUGUCAACUGGCUGUUGGGGCCUUCGGGCCUGGUAGCGCAACUAACGCGUGAAGUUGACCGCCUGGGGAAUACGGUCGCAAGAUUAAAACUCAAAGGAAUUGACGGGGACCCACUGGCAGUGGAUGAUGUGGAUUAAUUCGAUGCAACGCGAAAAACCUUACCUACCCUUGACAUGGAAUCGAAGAGAUUUAGGAGUGCUCGCGAAGAACCGGAACACAGGUGCUGCAUGGCUGUCGUCAGCUCGUGUCGUGAAGAGAUGUUGGGUUAAGUCCACCAACAAAAGAGCCGCAACCCUUGUCAGUGGUUGCUACGAAGGGCACUCUAAUGAGACUGCCGGUGACAAACCGGAGGAAGGUGGGGAUGACGUCAAGUCCUCGUAAUGCUAUGGGUAGGGCUUCACACAUCGCGCAAUGGUCGGGACAGAGGGUCGCCAACCCGCGAGGGGGAGCCAAUCCAGAGAGCCCGAUCGUAGUCCGGAUCGCGGUCUGCAACUCGACUGCAUUGAAGUCGGAAUCGCUGGUAAUCGCGGAUCAGCAUGUCGCGGUGAAUACGUUCCCGGGUCUUGUACACACCGCCCGUCACACCAUGGGAGUGGGUUUUACCAGAAGUAGUUAGCCUAACCGUAAGGAGGGCGAUUACCACGGUAGGAUUCAUGACUGGGGUGAAGUCGUAACAAGGUAA